AUUUGCUUUGCAGGAUAUUUCUGUCCUUAGAUCUCUGUACCUCAGGAAAAAUAUAUUUUAGUCCUUCUUAUGUGAAAGUAGACAGUUUUGAUCUAACUGUUGAGUGAUGCAACAAAAAAUCCUCACCUAUAUAAAAGGCUGUGUCUCUGAUCCUAGGCUUGUCCCCAUGAAGAGCCUCCUGAAGUCAGUCCCAGAAUCUGCAGUGCGUGACGUGACAAAUGCUUCCUGUUUUGUCUCUUUUGAGGUCUUGUGGAGCCCUUUGUUGGCCUGAUCAGUUUGACGAGUGUAGCCAGUACCCAAUGACAACUUAGAAAAGAGCAGAAGAAAUGAGAGCUUUGUGGCAGGAAGUGUUACAGAGCUAUAGACACUUACAGCCCUGCGCCUAACUAGGCAGCUAUUGAGGUGAACCAAUGGCAUCCUGAAGAGAAACAUUACUUAGGAUAAAGUAAACACUUGUAGUAAAUUUAGGUUCCUACCCAUGCCCCUUUAAAUAUCCUCCCUGGGACAGGAUCAAAACAACCUAGAAAUGUGUGAAAUGCAAAGAAACAGUGCUGAUUUGCUGUGGUUUUGCUGGGCCCUCCAUAUGGGCUAUUGUGCCUCAGUUAUUUAGGAUGGCAGCCAUCAGCCCAGAAUGUGCCUUGCUAAGGGAAAGUCCCUAGUUACUGCUGUAGCAGUACUGCAGCGCUGAGGGAACUUCAAUGCCUGUGGCUGCCCACCCGGUACCUGACGUUGUUCAGCCUCAACACCACGUAGCUCUGCCAUUCCUCGCUCCUUAGGUGCCUGUACUCUGGCACUUGGAAAAAAUCAGACCAAAUGGCAGACUCACUUCAAGCAGAGACCAUUGGCUGUGUGUUGUGGGCUUCAGAGAUUCUCUAAAUUGUAUUUAAAAAAAAAAAAUAGAGGACCAUCUGCAAAUACUCGGCUUGUAUCCACCUUCAGACAACAGCCCUGCUACUGAGCUAGAUGGAGAAGCUCUCCUUUUUACUGAGAG
rnacentral:lncRNA from 1 species